GGUAGUAGCAAAUACUCAAGUGAGAACCUUGAGGACUGAAGUGGAGAAGGGUUCCAUGUGAACAGCAGUUGAACAUGGGUCAGUCGGUCCUUAGGGAAAGGAGAAAUCCUUUCAGAAGCGGGCGCGUUUGUGCAGCUCAGUCUGUGAAUCGGAGACGCCCCGCUGCAACCAAAGGGAAUCGGGUUAACAGUCCCGAACCCGGCUACGGAGGUCGGUCCUUCGGGACCCAGUGCGGCAACGCAAACCAGCUCGGAGACGCCGAUGGGAGCCGCGGGAAGAGUUUUCUUUUCUCUGUAAGGAGAUCGAGUCCCUGGAAUGGGUUCACCCCGAGAUAGGGACGGUGGCUCCGUAGAGCAGUGCGACUCUUGCGCUGUCCGCAGCGCUCCUGUCGGCCCUUGAAAAUCCGAGUGAGGGAGUGUGAUUUUCGUGCCGGACCGUACCCACAUCCGCAGCAGGUCUCCAAGGUGAACAGCCUCUAGUC
rnacentral:rRNA from 1 species